CAAGCCAUUUUUCCUAAUAAAAACUCAAAACAUAUUAAUUCAUAGUUAAGACCUUUUCAAUAAAGAUGGAAGUGAAACGUGGUGUAUACUGCGCACUCCUGAGACUAGGAUUCGAGAUGUAUAUCUCGCCAAUCCUAGCUCUCGCGAUCAUCCAAAUUUAUCCACUUUGUUCUCUCUCAAACACUCAUUCAAAUUUCUCUUAAAUGUCCA
rnacentral:lncRNA from 1 species